UGCUAUGGCACAUAUAUGGAAAUCACUAGUGGUUGAUCCUAAGAGGACUAUUGAUGAAAAUCUGGAUUUUAUUUUUGAUGAUCUUCUAAUACAAUGUGGAUCCAAGCUUUGGCAUUCUUGUGAGGCAUCUUGCCUUGCCCUUGCAGAUAUUAUCCAAGGUCGAAAAUUUGAUUAGGUUGGGAAGCAUUUGAAGAAAAUAUGAGUGGCUGCUUUUCGUGCCAUGGAUGACAUCAAAGAAACUGUGCAAAAUGCUGGUGACAAACUAUGUCGUGCUGUAACCUCACUAACAAUAAGGCUCUGUGAUGUGUCCCUUAUUGAAGCAUCAGAUGCAAGCCAAUCGAUGGAUAUUGUUCUUCCCUUUUUGCUUGCAGAAGGCAUAUUGAGUAAAGUUGACAGUAUCAGGAAGGCAUCAAUCGGAGUUGUUAUGAAGCUUGCAGAGGGUGCAGGAGUUGCAGUUCGCCCACAUUUAUCGGAUUUAGUUUGUUGCAUGCUGGAAAGCUUAUCAAGCCUAGAGGACCAAGGACUCAAUUAUGUUGAGUUGCAUGCAUCAAAUGUUGGAAUUCAAACAGAGAAGCUAGAAAAUCUGCGACUUUCAAUUGCGAAAGGAUCUCCAAUGUGGGAGACUCUUGACCUGUGCAUAAAUGUUGUAGAUAACAAAUUAUUAGAGAUGCUGGUUCCACGUCUUGUUAACUUGGUUCGAUCUGGAGUUGGCCUCAAUACAAGGGUUGGUGUUGCCACCUUUAUCAACUUAUUAGUUCAGAAAGUUGGUGUGGAUAUCAGACCCUAAGCAACAUGCUAUUAAGGCCAUUGUUUCCUGUUGUUAAGGAGGAGAAAAGUUCUGCGGUAAAACGUGCAUUUGCAAGUGCUUUGGCUGUUGUUUUGAAGUAUUCAACUCCAUCUCAAGCCCAAAAGUUGAUAGAAGACACUGCAGAUUUGCACACCGGUGACAGGAAUGCUCAAAUAUCCUGUGUAUACUUGAUGAAAAGCUUUUCAUCCAUUGCUUCAGAUGUUUUAAGCGGAUAUAAUAAAGUGAUAAUUCCGGUGAUCUUUAUGUCAAGAUUUGAGGAUGACAAACACAUUUCCAGUCUUUUUGAGGAGCUCUAGGAAGAAAGCAUAAGUGGCGAACGAAUAACACUACAGUUGUAUAUGGAGGAAAUCGUUUCAAUUAUUUGUUACAGCAUUGCAUCAUCUUCAUGGGCAAGUAAACGAAGAUCAGGUAAGGCAAUCUGCAAGCUUAGUGAAGUUCUGGGUGAUUCCUUAUCUUCUUAUCUUGUUCUCCUGAAAUCUCUUAUGAAGGAAAUUCCUGGUCGUUUAUGGGAGGUAGGA